rnacentral:rRNA from 1 species
UGGUUGAUCCUGCCAGUAUUAUAUGCUUGUCUCAAAGAUUAAGCCAUGCAUGUCUAAGUAUAAGCAAACUUAUACUGCGAAACUGCGAAUGGCUCAUUAUAUCAGUUAUAGUUUAUUUGAUGAUCCUUUUACUACAUGGAUAACUGUAGUAAUUCUAGAGCUAAUACAUGCGCACAAUCCCGCAAGGGAUGUAUUUAUUAGAUUCAAAGCCAAUUCAGGCAUCUGUCUGAUUGUUGGUGAGUCACAAUAACUAAUCGGAUCGCAUCGGCUUCGUGCCGGCGAUGGAUCAUUCAAAUUUCUGCCCUAUCAGCUUUGGACUGUAGUGUAGUGGACUACAGUGGCGUUGACAGGUAACGGAGAAUUAGGGUUCGAUUCCGGAGAGGGAGCCUGAGAAACGGCUACCAGGUCUAAGGAUGGCAGCAGGCGCGCAAAUUACCCAAUCCUGACACAGGGAGGUAGUGACAAGAAAUAACAAUAUCUGACUCUUACGAGUCGGAUAAUUGGAAUGAGAACAACUUAAAAUCCUUAUCGAGGAUCCAUUGGAGGGCAAGUCUGGUGCCAGCAGCCGCGGUAAUUCCAGCUCCAAUAGCGUAUAUUAAUAUUGUUGCAGUUAAAACGCUCGUAGUUGGAUUUCUGGAUUGGAGAGCUCUCUGUGCUGAACCCAUUUAUGGGCAUUGGCGCUGGAGGUGCACUUCGUUCCAUCCUUCGUGGAAAACGUUUGAGCUCUUUAUUGAGUCUUGGGCGCGAUCCCGAUCUUUUACUUUGAAAAAAUUAGAGUGUUCAAAGCAGGCUUACGCUUCUGAAUACAUUAGCAUGGAAUAAUAAAAUAGGGCUUUGGUCUUAUUUUGUUGGUUUCUAAGACUGAAGUAAUGAUUGAUAGGGAUAGUUGGGGGUGCUUGUAUUCAACGGCCAGAGGUGAAAUUCCGUGAUUCGUUGAAGACAAACUAAUGCGAAAGCAUUCACCAAGGAUGUCUUCUUUAAUCAAGAACGAAAGUUGGGGGAUCGAAGACGAUCAGAUACCGUCGUAGUCUCAACCAUAAACGAUGCCGACUAGGGAUUGGUGGGCGUUGAUUUUUGACCCCAUCAGCACCUUAUGAGAAAUCAAAGUCUUUAGGUUCCGGGGGGAGUAUGGUCGCAAGGCUGAAACUUAAAGGAAUUGACGGAAGGGCACCACCAGGAGUGGAGCCUGCGGCUUAAUUUGACCCAACACGGGGAAACUUACCAGGUUCAGACAUAGUGAGGAUUGACAGA